GGACUCACCGUGGCUUCUUCGUUAUUAUAUUGCAAAUUUGCAUAAAAUAUGAAUAUUUAUAACACGUUAAUGAAAAACACAUAAAUGAAAAUAAGCGUAACCGUAAGUUAACUUUUGUUCCAUUUAUGUUUACAUACAUGCAGCUAUAUGCAACAACACUUCAGGUUCACGUGUUAGAGUUCUAGUUUCAACUUUACAGUUAUGGUCGACAAUCUCUAAGCUACUGUAAAUGAUUUUAGCAUCAUUUGCUGUAGAAGGGGUAGUUUUUGUAAAAUGAAUAGUCAAAGUUGAAAGUGAUAAAACAUAUUGUAACACACUGUGUUAUGAUUUGGAUGAAUGAGGCAACUCUGAAACUCACGAAACAAAACCAGUUUGCUUUUUCUGCAUUAUCCCAAACCACUCUUGUUUGACAAACCCUACGUGAGCCUCACAACCUCCAGACACCGAAUACCCUCCUCUGACAAGAUGUACACAAGUGCCGCCAGAAAAUAGUUCAUAACAAGAAGGAAGCAUCCAUCGAAUAAGAGCCCGAUUUUAGAUCACUGGAAUUAUUUCCUGCUCUGGUUUAAUAUUUGCCUAAGAAUUAGAAAAAAAAAUUGCUGUUCACGAUGAAUUAUUUGCUGCUAUACAGCUGGGCACUUUGAUAGCGGAUGGAUAUGUACAAUAUUUCCCGUCGCACAGUCAGUCGGCUUUAGUUGAAGGAGAAGGGCGGUGGCGAGAGAAGCUCCGGAGAUAGGCAAACAUCAAUGCAGACCACAUAGAACAUCGACAGCUGUGCACCUCCGAUAGAGAAGUGCCAUAUAUUCAAGUAGCCAUGAAGUUAAGACUUCCUACCAAACAUUGACUAUUUCUUUGUUAUAUAGUUGAAAGUCAUUUGCCAUUACAAAACAUGAAUACAUGACGACA